ensembl:lncRNA
AGAAGAUUUAAAACUAAUGCUGAAAAACAAAAGGAGCCAUAACGCCGUCAGUGUGACAAGCGGAGCAGCGAUGGUGACACAGAUGAAGACGUAGGACAGCGAAGGCACAUCUUCAUCAUCAGCUGGGCCGCGUGGCUCGUCUACAAGAAGAAGAAGAAGCACGUAGAUCCAGUCUUUACCCAAUGAAAUUGUUGGACAGGACACCGGACCGUCACGGGUCGCUGGGGGACAGUUUUCACCGUUGUGCCUCUUGGGACCAGCACCUCAACAUCACAAGGAAACACGUCUAAAACAAAAAAGAAAUCACAUUUCCCCCAAAAGUCAGUUUAUUUUAUCUUCAAUCAUUAACAUCAACACCUUUGACGUUUGUAAUCAC